AAAAAUGCAUGCAUCGCACCAAAAGAAAACGAUGGAAACCAAACAGAGAGGGAGGAUAUGGAGAAAAAGCUAGUACGGAUCAUGAUAAAGCUUUCUUUUUCUUCUUCUUCUUUUUCUUCUUCUUCUUCUUCUU
rnacentral:ribozyme from 13 species